rnacentral:lncRNA from 1 species
GGGGUGGGGAUGCGGGAGCGUGCCCCUCUCCCGUGGGGCAGGGAUGCGGGAGUGUGCCCCUCUCCCGUGGGGCAGGGAUGCAGGAGGGCGCCCCUCUCCCGUGGGGCAGGGAUGCGGGAGUGUGCCCCUCUCCCGUGGGGCAGGGAUGCAGGAGGGCGCCCCUCUCCCAUGGGGUGGGGAUGCAGGAGGGUGCCCCUCUCCCGUGGGGCAGGGAUGCGGGAGCGUGCCCCUCUCCCGUGGGGCAGGGAUGCAGGAGGACGCCCCUCUCCCGUGGGGUGGGGAUGCAGGAGGGCGCCCCUCUCCCGUGGGGCAGGGAUACAGGAGGGUGCCCCUCUUCCAUGGGGCAGGGAUGGGGCAGGGUGCCCCUCUUGUUAGGGUGUGGGGCAGGGAUGCAGGAGGGCGCCCCUCUCCCAUGGGGCAGAGAUGGGGCAGGGUGCCCCUCUCCCAUGGGGUGGGGAUGCAGGAGGGUGCCCCUCUCCCGUGGGGCAGGGAUACAGGAGGGCGCCCCUCUCCCAUGGGGCAGGGAUACAGGAGGGUGCCCCUCUCCCAUGGGGUGGGGAUGGGGCAGGGUGCCCCUCUCGUUCGGGUGUGGGGCAGGGAUGGGGCAGGGUGCCCCUCUCCCAUGGGAUGCAGGGAUGCAGGAGCAUGCCCCUCUCCCAUGGGAUGCAGGGAUGCGGGAGGGUGCCCCUCUCCCAUGGGAUGCAGGGAUGCAGGAGCGUGCCCCUCUCCCAGGAUGCAGGGCAGGGAUGCAGUGGGGUGCCCCUCUUCCAUGGGGCAGGGAUACAGGAGGGUGCCCCUCUCCUGGGGUGCAGGGCAGGGAUGGAGCAGGGUGCCCCUCUCCCACAGGACAGGGAUGCAGGAACGUGCCCCUCUCCCACGGGAUGCAGGGAUGCGGGAGGUGCCCCUCUCCCACGGGAUGCAGGGAUGCGGGAUCGUGCCCCCGUGCCGCGGGGCGGGUGGCACCGUCGGGGCGCAGCAGCGGGCUCGCCGCAGGGCCGCUGGCCCUCCUCGCUCGGCAGCCUGCGCCGGAGGCGGCGCGGA